rnacentral:rRNA from 1 species
AGGGCUUCGACACGUCAUACAAUGGUCGGUACAGAGGGUUGCCAACCCGCGAGGGGGAGCGUAAUCCCACAAAGCCGAUCGUAGUCCGGAUCGCAGUCUGCAACUCGACUGCGUGAAGUCGGAAUCGCUAGUAAUCGUGGAUCAGCAUGUCACGGUGAAUACGUCCGGUCUU